CCAAUAGCGUAUAUUAAAGUUGCUGCAGUUAAAAAGCUCGUAGUUGAAUUUCGGGACUAAUAUGUCGGUCGUGCCUCGGUACGUACUGGUAUUUUUGGUUUCUACCUUCUGACGAACCUUGAUGUCAUUAAUUUGGUGUCUUGGGAAAUCAGGACUGUUACUUUGAAAAAAUUAGAGUGUUUAAAGCAGGCUCACGCUUGAAUACAUUAGCAUGGAAUAAUGAAAUAGGACGUUUGAUUCUAUUUUGUUGGUUUCUAGGAUCGACGUAAUGAUUAAUAGGGAUAGUUGGGGGCAUUAGUAUUCAAUUGUCAGAGGUGAAAUUCUUGGAUUUAUUGAAGACUAACUACUGCGAAAGCAUUUGCCAAGGAUGUUUUCAUUAAUCAAGAACGAAAGUUAGGGGAUCAAAGACGAUCAGAUACCGUCGUAGUCUUAACCAUAAACUAUGCCGACUAGGGAUCGGAUGAUGUUAAUUUUUUAAUGACUCAUUCGGCGCCUUACG
rnacentral:misc_RNA from 1 species